rnacentral:rRNA from 1 species
UGGGGAAUAUUGAACAAUGGGCGCAAGCCUGAUGCAGCGACGCCGCGUGAGGGAUGACGGCCUUCGGGUGGUAAACCUCUUUCAGCUCCGACGAAGCGCAAGUGACGGUAGGAGCAGAAGAAGCACCGGCCAACUACGUGCCAGCAGCCACGGUAAUACGUAGGGUGCAAGCGUUGGACGGAAUUACUGGGGGUAUAGAGCUCGUAGGCGGUGUGUCGCGUCGUCUGUGAAAUUCUGCAGCUUCACUGCAGGCGUGCAGGCGAUACGGGCAGACUUGAGUACUACAGGUGAGACUGGAGUUCCUGGUGUAGCGGUGAAAUGCGCGGAUAUCAGGAGGAGCACCGGUGGCGAAGGCGGCUCUCUUGGUAGUAACUGACGCUGAGGAGCGAAAACGUGGUUAGCGAACAGG